rnacentral:rRNA from 1 species
GACGUAGGGCGCGAGCGUUGUCCGGAUUUAUUGGGCGUAAAGAGCUCGUAGGCGGUCUGUCGCGUCUGCUGUGAAAACUCGGGGCUUAACCCCGGGCCUGCAGUGGGUACGGGCAGACUGGAGUGCGGUAGGGGAGACUGGAAUUCCUGGUGUAGCGGUGAAAUGCGCAGAUAUCAGGAGGAACACCGAUGGCGAAGGCAGGCCUCUGGGCCACUACUGACGCUGAGAAGCGAAAGCAUGGGGAGCGAACAGG